CUGCAAGGUCAGGAGCGCAUUGCCGGAUCACUCUAUUAUUUCGCUGCGCCACUGUUACCCAGCUAACGCCUUUUUCAUGAUAUUUUGAACAUCCACACAGAAAAAACCAAGUGAGUGCGGGAGAGAUACAAAUGGAUCGUUUGGUGGAGAAAUUCGUCUUCGUCACCGCCGCCAGGCUGGGAUUAAUGCGAUUGAAGGUUCCUCCAGGCUCCGCCAGGGAGACGGGCUCAGGAAAGCAAGAGAAAUUGUUCUGGUCAGGCACCAUGCUCUGCCCUGAGGGCUCAACGCCUUGUGGAGCUUAUGAUGAUGAAGAAGUUCAUGAAGAUGUGUGAAUUGCUUCUAUGAAAUGUCUACAUUGAAUCUGUUUGAAUCUUCUGAGGGCCUUAGUCAGAGAGGUUGAAAUCAAGGCAUUAUCCAGUCUGGGAUCUACUCUGAAGCUCUGGGGAAGAAUCUACUUCUGCAUUUAUUCCUGUUGUUGGCAGAAUUCAGUGUUUUGCUAUUGUCGACUGAGGUCCCUGCUUCCUUGCUGGCUGUCAGUGGGGGAGUCACUCACAGCUCCUAGAAACUA